rnacentral:rRNA from 1 species
UACGUAGGGUGCGAGCGUUAAUCGGAAUUACUGGGCGUAAAGCGUGCGCAGGCGGUUUUGUAAGCCAGAUGUGAAAUCCCCGGGCUUAACCUGGGAAUGGCAUUUGGGACUGCAAGGCUUGAGUGCGGCAGAGGAGACUGGAAUUCCUGGUGUAGCAGUGAAAUGCGUAGAUAUCAGGAGGAACACCGAUGGCGGAAGGCAGGUCUCUGGCGACACUGGACUCGCAUGCACGUAAAGACGUGGGGAGCCAAACGAAAGG